GGAUUAGAUACCCUGGUAGUCCACGCCGUAAACGUUGUGCACUAGGUCGGAGGGGUUCUCACGCCGUUCCGGCCGAAGGUAAACCGAUAAGUGCACCGCCUGGGGAGUACGGUCGCAAGGCUAAAACUCAAAGGAAUUGACGGGGGCUCACACAAGCGGUGGAGCAUGUUGCUUAAUUCGAGGCAACGCGAAGAACCUUACCUGGGUUUGACAUGGACGGAUUAACUCUCUGAAAGGAGAGACACGCACUCACGGGUGGAACGUUCACAGGUGCUGCAUGGCUGUCGUCAGCUCGUGCCG
rnacentral:rRNA from 1 species